rnacentral:lncRNA from 1 species
CACUUUCUUUAUCUGUCAAAUGAAGAUUUUUAAUUAUAGCACUUACCUCCCAGGACUGUUAUGAAGAUCAAAUGCUAUAUUACUUGUAAAAUAAUAUGCUGCCCUUAAAACACUAUACAAGGAGUGCUGUUGUUAUUACCAUCAUCAUCAUCAUCAUCAUCAUCAUCAUCAUCAUCAUCAUCAUCAUCACCAUUAUCAUCAUUGCAGUCAUAAUUGCCAUCCUCAUCCUCCUCCACAUCAGUCAGAAUAGCUUGGAAUAGAGUCACUGGAAGCUGGGCAUAAGAGAUGGCUCCAUGGAGGAAGUUCUUCUACAGCUGGACUUGGGAGGCCUGGAUCAGGUACAGGGAAGACGCAAACAGCACAUCGCUCAAAUCUGAUCAUUAAUAAGUGACAUAAGAGCCUGGCAGCGGCAGCAGCGGUUUUACAAGGACUGUGGAACCUAAUAGCCAAAUGAUCCUUCCUCAGCAACUUCCUGCUUCACAUUCCAGCUAUUUGAGACCAAGAAAUACCCAAUCACACUUCCCUAUUUCAUGGACUUGAGCUGCCUGAGGAUCCCUUGUAAUGAUUCCCCUUGGAUGCCCACUUCAGCAGUGGGCACUGUCCAUCUGCCAACUUGCAGCUAGAAGCAGCCAGGGCUCAGAGCCAAGGAGCUGGACCCAUGGCCUCGCAUGCCAAGAUACCAACUUGGUGUCAGCAAAACUGAAGAAAGCUUCAGGGCCACUUUUUGCUGCCUCACAGAAACUCCAGGGGAUUGGUUGGCAGGGAGCUCGCUUGCUUCGGGGAGAGGUGGAAGGUUUUUAACUCCACUGCUAAUGAGUGAGAUGGAGCCUG